rnacentral:rRNA from 1 species
GAUGAACGCUGGCGGCGUGCCUAAUACAUGCAAGUCGAGCGAACGGACGAGAAGCUUGCUUCUCUGAUGUUAGCGGCGGACGGGUGAGUAACACGUGGAUAACCUACCUAUAAGACUGGGAUAACUUCGGGAAACCGGAGCUAAUACCGGAUAAUAUUUUGAACCGCAUGGUUCAAAAGUGAAAGACGGUCUUGCUGUCACUUAUAGAUGGAUCCGCGCUGCAUUAGCUAGUUGGUAAGGUAACGGCUUACCAAGGCAACGAUGCAUAGCCGACCUGAGAGGGUGAUCGGCCACACUGGAACUGAGACACGGUCCAGACUCCUACGGGAGGCAGCAGUAGGGAAUCUUCCGCAAUGGGCGAAAGCCUGAUGGAGCAACGCCGCGUGAGUGAUGAAGGUCUUCGGAUCGUAAAACUCUGUUAUUAGGGAAGAACAUAUGUGUAAGUAACUGUGCACAUCUUGACGGUACCUAAUCAGAAAGCCACGGCUAACUACGUGCCAGCAGCCGCGGUAAUACGUAGGUGGCAAGCGUUAUCCGGAAUUAUUGGGCGUAAAGCGCGCGUAGGCGGUUUUUUAAGUCUGAUGUGAAAGCCCACGGCUCAACCGUGGAGGGUCAUUGGAAACUGGAAAACUUGAGUGCAGAAGAGGAAAGUGGAAUUCCAUGUGUAGCGGUGAAAUGCGCAGAGAUAUGGAGGAACACCAGUGGCGAAGGCGACUUUCUGGUCUGUAACUGACGCUGAUGUGCGAAAGCGUGGGGAUCAAACAGGAUUAGAUACCCUGGUAGUCCACGCCGUAAACGAUGAGUGCUAAGUGUUAGGGGGUUUCCGCCCCUUAGUGCUGCAGCUAACGCAUUAAGCACUCCGCCUGGGGAGUACGACCGCAAGGUUGAAACUCAAAGGAAUUGACGGGGACCCGCACAAGCGGUGGAGCAUGUGGUUUAAUUCGAAGCAACGCGAAGAACCUUACCAAAUCUUGACAUCCUUUGACAACUCUAGAGAUAGAGCUUUCCCCUUCGGGGGACAAAGUGACAGGUGGUGCAUGGUUGUCGUCAGCUCGUGUCGUGAGAUGUUGGGUUAAGUCCCGCAACGAGCGCAACCCUUAAGCUUAGUUGCCAUCAUUAAGUUGGGCACUCUAAGUUGACUGCCGGUGACAAACCGGAGGAAGGUGGGGAUGACGUCAAAUCAUCAUGCCCCUUAUGAUUUGGGCUACACACGUGCUACAAUGGACAAUACAAAGGGCAGCGAAACCGCGAGGUCAGGCAAAUCCCAUAAAGUUGUUCUCAGUUCGGAUUGUAGUCUGCAACUCGACUACAUGAAGCUGGAAUCGCUAGUAAUCGUAGAUCAGCAUGCUACGGUGAAUACGUUCCCGGGUCU